GCUCUUCCGAUCUGAAAAGUUCACUAGAGCUUGUCUCCAAAACAACCAUUGAUAACCAUGCCUCCUAGACUGGAGAUAUGGCUCAUGGAGUAGAGCAUUAGCUGAGCAAAAUGGAGCAAGGGGUGGGAGGCCCUGAGUUCAAACCCACAAAAUAAAUAAAUGAAACACAUGAAUGAAUGACUGUUCACUUCAUUUCCAAGAUAUAUUUGUAAUGAUCUGACUUAUUGUUCUACUUAAAAAUUUAAAUUGAGGGCUGGGAAUGUGGCUUAGUGGUAGAGUGCUUGCCUAGCAUACACACAGCCCUGGGUUCAAUUCCUCAGCACCACAUA